CCUACGGGAGGCUGCAGUCGAGAAUCUUCGGCAAUGGACGCAAGUCUGACCGAGCGACGCCGCGUGCGGGAUGAAGGCCUUCGGGUUGUAAACCGCUGUCAGUGGGGAGGAAGGCUCCGUGAAGAGCGGGGUUUGACCUAUCCGCAGAGGAAGUGUGGGCUAAGCUCGUGCCAGCAGCCGCGGUAAGACGAGCCACACGAACGUUAUUCGGAAUUACUGGGCUUAAAGGGUGCGUAGGCGGCGCGGAAAGUUGGGUGUGAAAUCCCUCGGCUCAACCGAGGAAUUGCGCUCAAAACUACCGUGCUCGAGGGAGAUAGAGGAGUGCGGAACUUACGGUGGAGCGGUGAAAUGCGUUGAUAUCGUAGGGAACACCGGUGGCGAAAGCGGCACUCUGGAUCUCAUCUGACGCUGAUGCACGAAAGCUAGGGUAGCAAACGGGA
rnacentral:rRNA from 1 species